UACGUAGGCAGCAAGCGUUGUCCGGAGUUACUGGGCGUAAAGGGUGUGUAGGCGGUUAUUUAAGUUUGGUGUGAAAUCUCCCGGCUCAACCGGGAGGGUGCGCCGAAUACUGAAUGACUUGGAGUGCGGGAGAGGAAAGUGGAAUUCCUGGUGUAGCGGUGAAAUGCGUAGAUAUCAGGAGGAACACCGGUGGUGUAGACGGCUUUCUGGACCGUAACUGACGCUGAGACACGAAAGCGUGGGUAGCAAACAGG
rnacentral:rRNA from 1 species